UGCAUUCACUAUUGUAAGUCGCUCUGGAUAAGAGCAUCUGCCAAAUGACUAACA
rfam:Salmo salar isolate Sally breed double haploid chromosome ssa10, whole genome shotgun sequence.